rnacentral:rRNA from 1 species
AGCUCCAAUAGCGUAUAUUAAAGUUGUUGCGGUUAAAAAGCUCGUAGUUGGAUUUCUGCCGAGGGCGACCGGUCCACCCUCACGGGUUGGUAUCAGGUUUGACCGAGGCUUUUUCUUGGGGAUCGACUUCUCACUUUACUGGGAGAACCGUUUGCCAAGACUUUUACUUUGAGGAAAUUAGAGUGUUUCAAGCAGGCUUAUGCCGUGAAUACAUUAGCAUGGAAUAAUAGGAUAUGACUUCGGUAAUAUUUUGUUGGUUUCUAGAACUGAAGUAAUGAUUAAUAGGGACAGUCGGGGGCAUUCGUAUUUAACUGUCAGAGGUGAAAUUCUUGGAUUUGUUAAAGACGAACUACUGCGAAAGCAUUUGCCAAGGAUGUUUUCA